ACAAUGGGUGACUAGGGUUCCGGUCCGGCGAAGACAGUCUCUUUCCCGGAUGGCUGGUCCGAGAGUCACCGACCUCUGGACGGGGUUACACGGCGGGACAAAAGCCCGGGAGAU
rfam:Marinobacter sp. T13-3 scaffold_93, whole genome shotgun sequence.